rnacentral:rRNA from 1 species
AAAAGUUGUGCACGCCGGAGUGUGUCCUCUCACAUAAAAUCCAUCUCACCCUUUUGUGCACCACCGCGUGGGCACCCCUUCGGGAUCGAACUGAUCCAGGAGAGGGGGCUUGCGUUUUCACACAAACCCCUUUUUAAAAAGUGUAGAAUGACCUCAUCUUUGCGAUAACACGCAAUCAAUACAACUUUCAACAACGGAUCUCUUGGCUCUCGCAUCGAUGAAGAACGCAGCGAAAUGCGAUACGUAAUGUGAAUUGCAGAAUUCAGUGAAUCAUCGAAUCUUUGAACGCACCUUGCGCCCCUUGGUAUUCCGAGGGGCACACCCGUUUGAGUGUCGUGAAAAUCUCAACCUUCUCGGUUUCUUCUGGAUGCCGAAGGAGGCUUGGACUUUGGAGGCCUUUGCUGGCGUCUCUCGCCAGCUCCUCUCAAAUGAAUUAGCGGGGUCCUCUUUGCCGAUCCUCGACAUGUGAUAAGAUGUUUCCAUGUCUUGGUUUCUGGCUCUGUUGCCUUUGGGACCCGCUUCCAACCGUCUCAACGACGAUUGUUUGUGAGCGCGUCUCCCUCCUCGGGAAACACACUCUCAAACCCCACGAACCCUUGACCUCAAAUCGGGUGAGACUACCCGCUGAACUUAAGCAUAUC